ACCUUGCCGCCAUGCCUCUUGUGAACACAAGUCAUUUUUGUGUACAAUUUAUUUAUUUUUGGUUUUAGAUGCCUACCUACAUUUUACCAUUUAUUUUGUUUUAAUAGGUUACAAAGUUAAUUAAAAGUAGUUUGAGAAGCUAUCAUCUUGUCUUUAUUAUUCGACUGAUUAGAUUUAUAUACAGUUGAAAACAAUUGAAAAUAGAAGCUAAAGAUAGGUAUAUUAGAGCAUCUUGGUGCAAUAAGCUAAACUUUUAUGAAUGACACGAUUAGUUGACUAAUCAAUCGUCAAUAAAACUGGCGAUUAAUUGACCCCCCUCCCCCCGAAAACAAACUCUUUGGAUCUAUAUGUUUCAUGUGGAUGCCAUAUUUACCAUACCAUACCGUUUUAUUUAUACCCAAGCCCCCAUAAUUUGGGUCUGAAAAUGAAGCCAAUACGGAAUGAGAAAAAUUGCAGUUCCACCUAGGGCUGGGCGAUAUGACGAUUUUAGACCGUUUUACGAUCUACACAUCUGACGGUCUGUCAUUUUUGAGAGACCUUUUUAUCACGAUUCACAGCUCUGCUGUUGAAUUUCUGCCUUUGAAUGAAAAGGGAACUUACCUCAGGCAAAUGACAUGCCUUUGUUUGACCCUUAACCAAUCAGAGUGAGUCAUAGUAAUAUAUUAGUGCCCCGCUUGUUUUCACCUGUGUGUGAACAAGCAUGGCUUCGGCUGCGGCUGAGAGCGACAACGAGGUUUUCGUUCCGAAGAGGAACGCAGGGUUUCCUUAGUGCGCAGCGCUAACAACUUAGCGACGUGACAUGUCUCGGAGAAAGCGUAAAAACAUGUUGGACGCUUCUUCUGAAGCAGGAAAAUAACACUGCUUCUUAAGCAGAGCACGACGUCGCCUCGGCUCGUUCACCCUCUGCUGAGCCGGACUGAGCUCGGUCACUGGGUCGUUGGAGCUGCCCCGUGACUGCCUGAUGGAAAACCAGCGGGUUUCAUCAGACUCGUAAAGUUUCUUGUUUUUGCUGGGGACCCCCUGCAUUUUACCGCUCCCUCCUGCAGUCUUCCCCUAUUACAAUUUAAAAUGAUUCUGUAAAUUCCGUGUAUCAAUAGAAACAAUCUCUGCCUCUGCCAGCUGCAGUAAAUGUAGUUUCCAAAUAAUAAAUCUCCAAAUAAUUCAUCUGUGUAUCUCCUUUCAUCCGCAUUAGUGAUAUUCUCAGCACCAGAACAGUGAAGCAAAGAAAGAUUCCUGAGUUUGUUAGUAAUUUUAUUUAUUAGGUGCAUCUAACCUGUUCUAUUUUUCUCUGAAAUGAGAUCAAAUCAGUGCUUCUAUGGGUUGUCUCCAAUCUGCACUGGAAAUUUUUACUUUAUUUAGAGACUUGUUGCAGAAAAUAUUCAGAAUGCGCAGUUUUUUGCUACCACAAGCGAUCUCUGGUCCAGCCGCACAUCAGAGCCGUAUUUGAGCUUAACUAUCCACUACAUGAGCAACUGGGAGCUACAUAGUAUUUUGAACAAGUUAAUGUUUGCACAAUACGUUUGCAAUUGACAUGUUUGCACUUUAAAUAUGUUUACGAUUUUAAUUUAUGUUAAGUUACUUGAAAAACGAGAAAAACUGAUUUUUGUAAUUGUUUCUCUCAGGGCUUUUAUCAUCUCUGGUGUUAGUUUAAAAUAUAAGUGUGUUAGCACUGUGCUGAUUAUCCCUAAUAUGAAUAAAUGUUUAUUUAUUCAAUGUUUCUCUUCUUUAAUACGCAAUAGAAGUUAUGCUAUUCAUGGAUAAAAAAUCGUGAUAAAAUCGAAAUCGUGAUAAAAUAUUUGAAAAAUCGUGAUAUUCUAUUUUUGCCAUAUCGCCCAGCCCUAGUUCCACCCUCAUCCGCAUGGGGCUGGUGUCAGAAGCGAGCAAAUCCUCAUUGACUCCCAUGUUAAAAAUACCAAUUUCACAGCAGAAAUAAACAUGUUUAUAGCCUGGUUCCAAAACAUGUUUUAGGUUUAAUUGAUCUAGUUUAUACUCAUGACAACUCUGAGGGGGGUGAAUCUUCUGUCACUCUUCUGUUUAAGUGUAUUAAAUGCCUAAAAUUCUGUAUAAUUAAUCCGUGGAAAGGCCUCAGUAGCUCGGUCUGAGCCUCAGUCUAGCCUGAAAACUGUUCUGCGAUUUUUAGUCUCUGAACUUAGACCAGUAGUUGUAACGUUUGUGUAUUCUUUUUUGGAUAUUAUCUGUGCAAAUGUUGGACAAAAUGACUGGCUGUGGUAUUAAUUGCACUAAUAGAGCGUCCAAGGAGUCUCCACUUCAUUUUUUUCGGUAAGUAAAAUUAUAUUCAUGUAUUUUAGGUCACUGCCGCUUUUGCAUUAGCUGAGCUUAUCAAAGUAGCUAGCUAACUACCAUUUUAACAUGUACUGUUUAACCAUGAAAUUUAGAUGUAAUACGGUAAAAUAAUUAAUAGGGUCUAUGUCGAUGGGUAAAACCAUGGUAAAACCCAGUGCAUUUAACAUAAAAAUGGGUUGAAAUAUGACGGAGCUCUCUGAGGGAGACUUCUGUGUUCCAUUCUUCCACUUAGUUCUCCCCAGCGGUCAGCCCGGCGCAUCUCUGACCGCUUCGGCGCCUGUCUGCUGCGCGGACUGACCGCUUGUGGAGCUCUCGGACUCUGAGAGAGACCUGACCACAGAAAUACUAAAGCUCGGAGAGUUGGUUGAUAGUGCUUGAUGUUAGUCUCCAGAAGUCUGUUUGCCAUCAGAUAAACUCACUAGUUUUUUUUUUUUUUUUGCAUAUUUGUAAAAUAGUGGUGGUGGGGAGCGACUAAAUAACUAAUUUGUCCACAAAGAGCCGCGACCGGGUGCCCUGUUCUCAUGGGAACUAGUGCAGUUUAAUUAAAUGGAAAUUAGUUAAUAAAAUUGAUUAUUAAAAGGUUCAUAUCCUCUCCAAUAAGGUGAUAGACUCAAGUGUUUGGUUUUAUAUUGUUUUUUAUAAAGUAUGCAUUUUGUAUUACUCUUUAUCCUAAUUUUAGACUUUUUACUACAGGCCAUGAUAAGCUAUUAAGUAUUUUAAACCCAUAUGCUUAAGUAGUUCUUUGUAUGAAGUUUUCCUCUAGGUCAUCCAGAGAGGCUUGACCUUUGGGUAAGCAACCAAAGAAGAGAGUGCUGGACUCCCAAUUCACACUCCCGCUUGUGCAGUGAACACUUUGAGAGUCAUCACUUCACCACGGACUCCAGGGAGCCGUCAGCAGCACGUUACUGCAGCAGCACGUCUUGCUCACGUAAACUGCUGCUUGGCCCUUCCCACGAGACGCGAAGCAGCAGGGGAGCAGCUGUCACCGACUGAGCACGAAGUCACACGAGUGACUUCGUCAGUAAACACAACAACAAGCAGGAGAAAACUACAACAUGGCUCCAAAAGGAGAGACUUUGCCUGAAGAGCACAGCUGUACCUACAAUCUUCUCUUCCUUUAAGGUCAAAAAACAUCUUCCAAGAAGGAAAGUACAGGUAAGUAGGAGUGACAAGGUACGUGACAACCCCAUUGGUUUUGUAAAUAGUUUUGAGAAGGUUGCAGAUGUAGA